rnacentral:lncRNA from 1 species
CGAGACUAACAUUGUGACACGAGAAUUUUAUAUAUUAGAAUAUAUACAAUAAAACAUUAACAUUAAUAUGUACUUAUAUUAUUUUAAGUCUUAUUGAAUCAUAAUAUGGUAUCUAGUGCUGGGACCGUAAAAUACAUGAAAAGUCAUAUUGCUAUUUAAUAUUUUAUUGUACAUUUUUGGCUAUUAUUUAAGUUUUAUAUCUAUUGAGAUUUGAGUUAUAAUACAUAUUUAACGGUUAAUAGCACGGCUAAAAUCACAAAUUUGAAGUUAUAAUCGCGUUUAUUUUUUAUUUGCCACAGACAGUGGCAGAUUGUUCACCGGGAGCCCGGGAAGUUUCCCGGUGGGCCGGAGCCCAGUCACGACUAUACGGGCCUAUCAUCCUAAAAAUGAUUUUUAUAAUUUAUUUUAUACUUAAAUUUGUUCUUUUUUAUUUUUAAAAAUAUUAAUUUUUGAUAAAAAUAUUAUUUGCAUUAUUAUCUAUGAGUAAACACUAAUAAGAUAACUCUAGUUCAUUUCACGGUUAUUUAUUUAUUCAUGGUAUUAUCUUGGUAGCUUUAUAAUACUGAAAUACAACCGGCCAAAGCAAAGCAAUGCAGACCAAUCUCGGAACUAUUUUCAAUCACACUAAUUCAUAAAGUGAAUACCUUUAGUUAAAGAAGACAGAAGUAAUAUUGUAAUAAUUUAUAAUAUUAUGUUUUAUUUUUUCGUUCAAUAAAAAAUGCUAAACCAUUGCAUAUAUAUUAAACUAGGUACCAACCCAGGCUACCUAAUAAUUUCUAAAUCAAAAUAAGUUCUGAAUUAUUUUAACUAUUAUAGAGUGAUGAAUGUGAUACUACGUUUUAUAAUGCUGAUGAUAAUGAUGACAAAAAUAUUGCUAUGGUUGAAGAUGUUGAAAAAAAUAAUUGUUUAGAUAUUUCUUUUGAAAAUUAUUUUCAAAAACCUAUGCCAUCUGGUAUCAAUGAUUAUUAUUUUUUAAUUUUACUACAUUUCCACUAAAUUGUUUGCAUUAAUAGUGUUUUGGGCCGGUGAAAUGAAAUUCUCCCGGGCCGGUUAAAAUUCAGAAUCCGCUACUGGCCACAGACACUACUGCAGUUAGCAGAGUAAUUCAAAUAUUGAAGUAUAUGAUAAUAUUAUGCAACUUACGUCUGUAAAAAAAUCACCAGUCCAUUUAGCUGUGAAUAAUGUUAUCAUCAGCGGCAACAAGAACUGGACAUUUCCUGUGGCUUCAAUAAAAACAACAGUCAGACUUAUAGUAGCUCUGACGAUUCCUCCUAAUUGUGCUGCAGCGCCGAGUAAUGCGUAUUUUCCUGGAUCGUCUCCAAUCUAAAAUUAAAAAAAAAAAUUAUAAUAAAACGGUUUAUCAAUAAAAUAAAACUCGAAUGGUACGUUUUAGAUUUCUAAUUAUAGGCUUAAUUAUUGUUCGUAGUUAAUUAUAUAGUUACGAUUGUUUGUAUUAAGAUAUUUAGAUAAGAUUGUUGAUUUUAAGUAAUUACUUCUGUAUACAAGCAAUUAAUAUAUAGAUUCAAAAUAUAAGGUUACCAAAUUUUUGUUUUUAAUUGUACUUGGAAUUAAGGUUUAUUUAUUUGUAUUAAAAUACGUUUAAAAACCAGGAAUUUAUCACCAUCGCAGGGUGAGCUUUCUUAACUUGUUUAUUUAAUACAACUAUAUUAUUUUUAAGAAAAACGUAGGUAAUAACUAUUGUUAGUUACCUACUAUAUGUAUUUAACGAAACACUUUCGAGAUAUUAUGCUUUAUAUAAAAUGUGAAUUUUCUCAUC